CUUCUGCCCCCGUCAGGCCACCGGUUGCAGAGAGGAGUGCUGCUCUCCGGGAUCAAAGGUCGCGGAUAACGAAGCUCCCGGGGCUCUGAGCCAGGCGCCCCCGCCCAGCUCCCGAGAUCCGAGUUCGGGGGCGCGCGACAGACGGGGAGCCUCGGCAGGCGGAGCGCGGGGCUGCCAGGAACGCCACGUCACUCGGUCACUCGCGACCUGACCCUACCGGCCCGCCCUGUCCCCGGAGGCGCGAGCGACUUGGGCCGCUGAGGGUCCUCUCCGAAGCAGCGGGCACUAUGGCUUCUUGGGUCUCCAGGAUGCUUCCUAGAAAUGCCUGUUCCUUGGCUACUUCAUCCAAGAUCCAGAGACAUGAGGAUUGUCAUCGGCAGCACAAGGCCUACGGGUACUUCUUGCCCAUCCAGACAAGAUGGCAGGACAAUGACCAGUAUGGGCACGUGAACAAUGUCGUGUACUACAGCUACUUCGACACCAUUAUCAACCAUUACCUGAUCAGGUACUGUGGCCUGAAAACCAGCCUACUGUCGUCCCCGAUGGUGGGGUUCAUGGUGACCAAUCAGUGCACCUACUACUCACCCAUCGGCUUCCCUCAGAUCCCUGUGGCUGCCUUGGCGGUGGAGAAAGUGGGUCACUCCAGCGUGCAUUACCGACUGGCCCUGUUUCCACCUAAGCACACCGAGGAGCCACCUUCAGUAGAUCACUGUGACCUCUCUGAUGGCUUUUUCUUUGGCCAUCCUAAAUUGGCUCACUUUGAUGCUUUGGCCUGUACCACGGGGUCUUCAGUCCACGUCUUUGUGAAUCCAGCCACCAGCAAGCCAGCAGGGCUCCCCGAAGACUUCAGGAAGGGCCUGGUGAAGCUGAUGAUCCCAGCUUCUGUGUGAAUUGCGAACACUCUCUAUGGAAUUGCUCGUAAAAUAAAGUUUAGAUUAUUCUCUCUGAAAUUUCUUCUGAUUUAUUAGACAUUUUGCCUUUUAAAUGGCUGUUAACGUCUUCAAAGUUUUUUAAGAGUCAUCUAGCUCUGUCAAUGAAUCACCUCCUUGCAUAAGAUCCUGGGCCAAGUAUUUUUGCACAGUGUAUCCCUUGGACCAUGACAGCCAACCUCGCGAGACAGGUAUUGUUCUCGCUGCCCUUUUACAAAAGAGGAAAGUAAAGUUUGCAGAGUGGAAGCAGCAGCCAAAGAAAGGCCAACUGGACUCGGAAGCCCAUGCUCUUAGCCACCACAUAAUGUUGCCUCUCCAGCCUGCACCAACCCUGAGGCCCAGGCCAGCCCAGGCCCUGGAGGAUCCAUUUCUGCAAAGGAGCCCCAUUCACUUCCUAAAAGGGUCUGCCGCAGAAGUUGUUUGGGGGCAAUUUUUGCAGAGCCUCUGUCCUCAUGGUCCCUUAUAGAAGAAGCUCUAGAGACUCCCCACUGAGCCCUGGAGCUGUCUUCCAGCUCAGCUCACUGGCAAUGCCUGUCAAACAGCCAAGUGCAUUCACACUGAGCACCGCUAACUGCUUCAGCAGAAGACAGUGUUUCUUUGGAAGAUUUCAUGUGCACCUACUGGUAUUUGAGGACCACUGACCAAUAUUAGUUGUGCAGUUAUUCACUGUGUGUUUGUUCAUGAAGCAACCAUGUAUCCGCCACCAAAAACCUAAUACAGACUUCACGGAGCCUGGAGAAAAGUAUGUCAUCCAUCUGCAGCGGAGGAUCUGUGAUUAGAUGCUCUUCAUACAUAAUGUGUUUCUGGUCCAACAAUUUUUGAACAGAUCGAAGAUGAUUCCUGUAGCAAUAUCACUUUGCAAUUGCUUCCCUGAGUAGGAGAGAAAAGGGUGGGAUUCCAUCUCGGACUCAAAACAUGCAUAAUUCAUGGUUGGGAGAUCUUCCCAUCAGAAUCCAUGAGCGUCCCAAGUCUGACCCUAAGAUGGAGCUUCCAGAAACCCUUCUGGUUCCAACGUGGCAGGAGAUCUUGAAAGGGAGCCUUUUCCUGCUUCACCCACAUCCCAGGAGAACUCUUCGGACGAGCGAGGGGAAAUCCAGCCCUCAGAUCCCCCCAUGGAUUGAAGCCUAGUCCAGCCUCUGAAAGAGAGCAGAUGAGUCAACUGAGGCCCAGAGAGAGGAAGUAAAUCCCAAACCUGGCAUGCAGCGAGGAGGAGUUUCAACCCGUGAAGCACCUGCGGAGGGUAGGGUGCUGGAUUCGGACAGGCCUGGGUUUGAAUUCCAGCUCUUUUCAUCUAUCUGUGUGACCUUGGGAAAGUCGCUAUAUAUUUCUAAGCCCGCAUCAUCUGGACAAUGGGACGGUAUAUAGCACUUACAUCAUGGGGCGGCAAUGAGGAGUGAAUGAGCUCCCCCACACAGAGAAGGUGUUCAGUUCAUGUGGCUGUUGCCAUUUUGGAUGUUAUUUUUAACCCUAACCAGAGAAGCUGGUUUCACAAAGGUCCAAUUUGUGCUUUGUGACUACCCUGCCCUCAGACCACAAAGCUACUUUGGCCUCGACUUGGGAAUAUGGAGAUUUGGCUUUUCUGUCCUUUUAGAUCUGAAAACAAAGCCCGCCUCAGGCACAAGCAAGCUUUCGCAUAAAGUCUCCCCAUUUCUGCAUCUUCCUUGGUACAACUCACCUCUUGGCAAACAGAUGCCCUAAAAUACCCAAAGUCAACACUCCAAUUUGGGUGCAUAUCCUUCCACCACCACAAAUGUGGUGAUGAUAUCCGUCACUAACAUUUUAGUGUGAAGUUUUGCAAUCAGAUUGCCUUCUUGUUAAUAUCUGAAUUAAGGAAAUGGGCAUUUUUGUGGGGAUGUAGGAGAAGCUAAAGAAAAGGGGGGAUGUGUAAUCUUUUGAGUUGAGCCAAGGGGGUACCCCAAGAAAAAUCUUGAACAGCAAGAUGUAGCAUGAGAAUAUUGGGGAUGGAGAAGAGAUGCCAAAGGAGUUGGAGGGGUCCAGACAGAAACGGAGGAGGGCAUCCGAGUGAACAUUAUCUACCAGAAAGAUAGAUAAGGUGGCAGGUGUCUCUGUAAUGAGGUGACUUGGGAAUACCUAAAGGACCUAAUGUCCUCCCUCUUCUUACCCCAGAGCCAAUGAAAAUGCCCAGCACCUGCCCUGACUGGGAGAUCGCCCAAGAAACCAUGAAUUUAAACUCUUCUUGACUCACUUAAAGCAAGCUACUGAUGGCGAGGCUUUCUUUUUUGGUUGGGGUGGGUGACUGGGACACUUGACCACUGAGCCACAUCCCCAGCCCUAUUUUGUAUUUUAUUUAGAGACAGGGUCUCACUGAGUUAUACAACACCUCAGUGAUGCUGAGGCUGGCUUUGAACUCGUGAUCCUCCUGCCUCAGCCUCUCCAGCUGCUGGAUUAUAGGCGUGCACCGCUGUGCCUGGUGGGAGAAGGCUUUCAUUCAAGCUGCUGUGUUUUACUCUAUGGGGGGCGAGGGAGAUGACUAAGACCCUGGGAGUGGGAGCUGGAUCAUGCACACUCUGCACUGUCUCGUGGAGAUGUCCUCCCAAGAGACCCUGCCUGACCAGGCCUUGCCCAGCCACCCGGGGCCUCUUCCUGCCUCUGACCUCUUCACAGAGUGGCCUCUUUCCAGCUCCAAGUUCAUCUCCUCAGAGACACCUUCCCCAAGCCCCGAAAUGUAACAGCACCCACCAUCUUCCACCCAGCCCCCUCUAUUGCAUCCUUGAUCACCAAAUAGAAACUGCUGAGGUCGGAAGCUGCCCUCUCCCUGGAGCAGCAUUCCAGCAAAGGGCAAAGAGGCCAUCGACAUUUGCUCUGAGUGGAGACUCCUCUUCCUCCCUGCACACCCCUGCCCGUUUGUUAUCCCUCCCCCUUCUGUGCCUUCCCUUUGCCUAAGUCAUGUUCAGGUUUCCCAGCCUGCGCGGUAAUUCGAGUGGAAAGUGUUUCCCCUCAAGCCUUUGCAGGCACCGUUUCUUUCCCUUUCUUUCACUUCCAAACUCCUUCCCAGGGUCACCUUCACGGCUCCAGCUCCUGCCUCACCUCCUACUCGCGCCUCAGCUGAUGAUGGAGCUUCCGCCUUCACCCCUCGGCUGGCAGGACUCUCAGGGCAGAACUGUCCCCAGGAGCCGCGGGUGAUGCACUAGGGAGGAGGGUGUGGAGGGCACCUUGCACGGCCACACCUGGCCGCCCUGCUCGGGAGCCACCUUAAUUAACCAACCGUUUCCUUUUCUCAGCCUUCAACCCCUUUGGUUUCUGGGCGACGUGACACUUGGUUUUCUCUUCCCUGACUUGGUGACCUGCUCUAUCUGCCUAAUCUCCGUCCUGCUCCUCCAACUUCUCCUUCCCAGCCUCCUGCCCUCGUUUUUCUUGCUAGAAAUAAUAAAAAAAAAAAAAAAAAAAA